rnacentral:rRNA from 1 species
GAUGAACGCUGGCGGCGUGCCUAAUACAUGCAAGCCGAGCGAACGGACGAGAAGCUUGCUUCUCUGAUGUUAGCGGCGGACGGGUGAGUAACACGUGGAUAACCUACCUAUAAGACUGGGAUAACUUCGGGAAACCGGAGCUAAUACCGGAUAAUAUUUUGAACCGCAUGGCUCAAAAGUGAAAGACGGUCUUGCUGUCACUUAUAGAUGGAUCCGCGCUGCAUUAGCUAGUUGGUAAGGUAACGGCUUACCAAGGCAACGAUGCAUAGCCGACCUGAGAGGGUGAUCGGCCACACUGGAACUGAGACACGGUCCAGACUCCUACGGGAGGCAGCAGUAGGGAAUCUUCCGCAAUGGGCGAAAGCCUGACGGAGCAACGCCGCGUGAGUGAUGAAGGUCUUCGGAUCGUAAAACUCUGUUAUUAGGGAAGAACAUAUGUGUAAGUAACUGUGCACAUCUUGACGGUACCUAAUCAGAAAGCCACGGCUAACUACGUG